rnacentral:rRNA from 1 species
GAUGAACGCUGGCGGCGUGCCUAAUACAUGCAAGUCGAGCGAACAGACGAGGAGCUUGCUCCUCUGACGUUAGCGGCGGACGGGUGAGUAACACGUGGAUACCCUACCUAUAAGACUGGGAUAACUUCGGGAAACCGGCGCUAAUACCGGAUAAUCUAUUGAACCGCAUGGUUCAAUAGUGAAAGACGGUUUUGCUGUCACUUAUAGCUGGAUCCGCGCCGCAUUAGCUAGUUGGUAAGGUAACGGCUUACCAAGGCGACGAUGCGUAGCCGACCUGAGAGGGUGAUCGGCCACACUGGAACUUAGACACGGUCCAUACGCCUACGGGAGGCAGCAGUAGGGAAUCUUCCGCAAUGGGCGAAAGCCUGACGGAGCAACGCCGCGUGAGUGAUGAAGGUCUUCGGAUCGUAAAACUCUGUUAUUAGGGAAGAACAGAUGUGUAAUUAACUAUGCACGUCUUGACGGUACCUAAUCAGAAAGCCACGGCUAACUACGUG